rnacentral:rRNA from 1 species
ACACGUAGGGGGCGAGCGUUGUCCGGAAUUACUGGGUGUAAAGGGUGCGUAGGCGGCCCUGCAAGUCAGAUGUGAAAGAUCACGGCUUAACCGUGGUAAGCAUUUGAAACUGUAAGGCUUGAGUGCAGGAGAGGAGAGUGGAAUUCCUAGUGUAGCGGUGAAAUGUGUAGAUAUUAGGAAGAAUAUCAGUGGCGAAGGCGGCUCUCUGGACUGCAACUGACGCUGAGGCACGAAAGCGUGGGGAGCAAACAGGAUUAGAUACACUGGUAGUCCACGCGGUAAACGAUGAGUGCUAGGUGUCGGGGGUCAUACCUCGGUGCCGCAGUUAACGCAUUAAGCACUCCACCUGGGGAGUACGGCCGCAAGGCUGAA